UUAAGAUUUGGAAUGGUGUGAAGUUUAAGAGGUUGUCAUCCUCCGAUGUUACCGGAGAGCACCGUUGGAGGCACCUUAAACUGCCUUAUCUUGAUUGGAAUCGUAAAUGCACGUGGGAGUGGAGUUAUUUCGGCUCAGUUUGCUUCCGUUUUGCCGCAUCAAAAACAGCAGGACUUUUUUUAAAAAGUGUGCUUUUACUGAUAGUGAUACCUGCGCAAAAAUUUAUAAAGAAACACAUUUGCUCGACCAACGCGCGCUCAAUUAAUCAAACACAGUCAGCUUGUGGAGACCACCUGCGCGCCUGCCCUUUUAAACAUCUCCAGUCCAAACUAAACUUGCCGUCUCGCUUCAUAUACUUGUUGGGAAACUAGCCGGGUGGAGGAACACGAAAUACGAGACUCUCUCUGUAAGAAAGGAUCACGAACACAGUGUCGAUAUCGAAGUCAAGUAAAGAUCGCUGACGAAUAAUGAAACUUUGUACGUCCACCACUCUCCUUAUAUCACAAGUGCUCCUAGCCCUGUUUCUACACGAAGCAACCGGCAGUUUUUAUCUUCGGUUUGGGCGUGGUAUGAAAAAGUACGCGUCUGACGCAAGGGUUAUGAGAGCAAGGACAUUAGCAGAAGACGAAACUGACCUGGAGCAACUGCCACAAAUCUCUAGAAUCGUUGAAACACGCAGGUCUCAUGCAAUCGAUGUUCCGAAUGAUGAACAUAUACUGAGUGAGAAACGGAAAAAAUAAAUAGUGAUUGACUAUAGGUCAUAGCCAAGCUAUAUAUGCAUGUUUUUCGGGGUUGUUCCUUGAAGAAAGAUGCUACAUCGGAAGAUCCGGACUUGAAAAUGUUUAGGUAGUUUCUUGUUUUAUUCUUUCAAACAAUAGAAUGUUCUCGCUGAUAUUUAUCUUGAAAUUAUGCCGAUGAGAAAUAUAACAAUGAAUGGCUAAAAGCUAGUCUUGAGUAUUGUCACUUUGGCAAUCGACCAGUGAAAUCAACCAUUGUCUUUGUCAGUUCUUUUCACUUUUAAUCAUUUAUCUGUUUUCCGCUGUGUUUUCAUCAUCCAAUAUAACCCGCCUACCUGGCCAAACGGACUCGCAAGUAGGCGCAAGUUAAAACUUGGGUCCACUUGCGACUUCCUUUGGUCAGGCCUUGCGUUGACUUGCGAUGACUUACGCUGUCUUUGGUCGAGAUCAAAUCUGCAUGCACGUCAACGCAAGUUUUCACCAUUUGGCCACCCAAUCCAAGCCAACAAAAGUUGAGUGACGUCCAUUCGUUGUUAUGGCAAUCUAUUAGCCAAUCAAACACAGGAUAUGUCUGCCUUGAAGUGUUUUUUUUUGUGACUUGCAUGUAUUUGCGAGGAAAACUGCGAGUCCGUUGGCCACUCAAGGCAAGUCUCUACGCAAGUUUAACUUGC